rnacentral:RNase_P_RNA from 1 species
CGAGCCGGCCGGGCGGCCGCGUCGGAAUCCGUGGUUUCCAUGGAUUCCGCCGAGGAACGUCCGGGCUCCACAGGGCAGGGUGGUGGGUAACGCCCACCCGGGGUGACCCGCGGGAAAGUGCCACAGAAAGCAGACCGCCAGGGGCCGCGAGGCGCCUGGUAAGGGUGAAACGGUGGUGUAAGAGACCACCAGCGUCCGGGGUGACCCGGACGGCUCGGUAAACCCCACCCGGAGCAAGGUCAAGAUGAGGCCGCCGCACGGCGGCCUUGCGCGGACGCAUGAGGGCUGCCCGCCCGAGUCCGCGGGUAGACCGCAUGAGGCCGACGGCAACGCCGGCCCUAGAUGGAUGGCCGCCUCCCCUGGCGCCGCAAGGCCCCAGGGAGACAGAACCCGGCGUACAGGCCGACUCGUCCG